rnacentral:rRNA from 1 species
GACGAACGCUGGCGGCGUGCCUAAUACAUGCAAGUAGAACGCUGAAGGAGGAGCUUGCUUCUCUGGAUGAGUUGCGAACGGGUGAGUAACGCGUAGGUAACCUGCCUGGUAGCGGGGGAUAACUAUUGGAAACGAUAGCUAAUACCGCAUAAGAUUGACUAUUGCAUGAUAGUCAGUUAAAAGGUGCAAUUGCAUCACUACCAGAUGGACCUGCGUUGUAUUAGCUAGUUGGUGGGGUAACGGCUCACCAAGGCGACGAUACAUAGCCGACCUGAGAGGGUGGUCGGCCACACUGGGACUGAGACCCGGCCCAGACUCCUACGGGAGGCAGCAGUAGGGAAUCUUCGGCAAUGGACGGAAGUCUGACCGAGCAACGCCGCGUGAGUGAAGAAGGUUUUCGGAUCGUAAAGCUCUGUUGUAAGAGAAGAACGAGUGUGAGAGUGGAAAGUUCACACUGUGACGGUAUCUUACCAGAAAGGGACGGCUAACUACGUG